rnacentral:rRNA from 1 species
GACAGAGGGUGCGAACGUUGUUCGGAAUUACUGGGCGUAAAGCGCGUGUAGGCGGCAGCGCAAGUCGGGCGUGAAAUCCCACGGCUCAACCGUGGAAGUGCACUCGAAACUGCGCAGCUAGAGUCCUGGAGAGGAAGGUGGAAUGCUUGGUGUAGAGGUGAAAUUCGUAGAUAUCAAGCGGAACACCGGUGGCGAAGGCGGCCUUCUGGACAGUGACGUGACGCUGAGACGCGAAAGCGUGGGGAGCAACAGGAUUAAGAA